UGGCUCAGGAUGAACGCUAGCGGCAGGCUUAACACAUGCAAGUCGAGGGGUAGGGUAGCAAUACCUGAGACCGGCGCACGGGUGCGUAACGCGUAUGCAAUCUACCUUUUACAGUGGAAUAGCCCAGAGAAAUUUGGAUUAAUACUGCAUAGUAUAAUUGAAUGGCAUCAUUUAAUUAUUAAAGAUUUAUCGGUAAAAGAUGAGCAUGCGUCCCAUUAGCUAGUUGGUAAGGUAACGGCUUACCAAGGCAACGAUGGGUAGGGGUCCUGAGAGGGAGAUCCCCCACACUGGUACUGAGACACGGACCAGACUCCUACGGGAGGCAGCAGUGAGGAAUAUUGGACAAUGGGCGCAAGCCUGAUCCAGCCAUGCCGCGUGCAGGAUGACGGUCCUACGGAUUGUAAACUGCUUUUAUACGAGAAGAAACACUGCUACGUGUAGCAGCUUGACGGUAUCGUAAGAAUAAGGAUCGGCUAACUCCGUGCCAGCAGCCGCGGUAAUACGGAGGAUCCAAGCGUUAUCCGGAAUCAUUGGGUUUAAAGGGUCCGUAGGCGGCUUGAUAAGUCAGUGGUGAAAUCUUUCGGCUCAACCGAGAAAUGGCCAUUGAUACUGUCAGACUUGAAUUAUUAGGAAGUAACUAGAAUAUGUAGUGUAGCGGUGAAAUGCUUAGAGAUUACAUGGAAUACCAAUUGCGAAGGCAGGUUACUACUAAUUGAUUGACGCUGAUGGACGAAAGCGUGGGUAGCGAACAGGAUUAGAUACCCUGGUAGUCCACGCCGUAAACGAUGGAUACUAGCUGUUGGGCGCAAGUUCAGUGGCUAAGCGAAAGUGAUAAGUAUCCCACCUGGGGAGUACGUUCGCAAGAAUGAAACUCAAAGGAAUUGACGGGGGCCCGCACAAGCGGUGGAG
rnacentral:rRNA from 1 species